rnacentral:rRNA from 1 species
ACAGAGGUGGCAAGCGUUGUUCGGAAUUACUGGGCGUAAAGGGCGCGUAGGCGGUCCUACAAGUCCCGCGUGAAAGCCCCCGGCUCAACUGGGGAAUGGCGCGGGAAACUGUAGGGCUUGAGUUCGGGAGAGGGAAGCGGAAUUCCGGGUGUAGCGGUGAAAUGCGUAGAUAUCCGGAGGAACACCGGUGGCGAAGGCGGCUUCCUGGACCGACACUGACGCUGAGGCGCGAAAGCUAGGGGAGCAAACGGGAUUAGAUACCCCGGUAGUCCUAGCUGUAAACGAUGAGUGCUGGGUGUAGGGGGUAUCAACCCCCCCUGUGCCGAAGCUAACGCAUUAAGCACUCCGCCUGGGGAGUACGGUCGCAAGGCUG